rnacentral:rRNA from 1 species
AUGAGCGAGUGGAGGGCAAGAUCUGCAGCUAUCGCCAAGGCCGCCAUAUUCUUGCGACACUGCGAGCUUCUCCGGCCGCCGCCUGCGUUGCUCUCUCUCUCGUUCUCAUCUCUCAAUCCACCCAUGGUCAUGGGGAAUCAUAAGCUCACUCUGAAGACCGAGGAGGACUCCAAUCCUCGUGAUAAGUACAUAACUUGGACUGACGAGGUGACAAGGUUUAUGCUUGAGUGGUAUAUCGACCUUCGUAAGGACAAACCUGCAACUUUCAAGUUCAAGAAACAACACCACUUGCAAUGUGUUGAUGCUCUAAAUGCCAAGUUUUUGCUUGGUGUCACUCAAACCCAAGUGGAUCGACACUAUCGUCAAUGCAAGGAGAAGUGGGGUUGGGUGCGUCGUGCCCUUGACAGAACCACUUUCACAUUCACACUUUCCGGGUCAUAA